AUGCAUAGACAUGAUGACAUCAGCUGGAUUGAUGCCAAAAUAAAUUACAAUACGUGCGAGGGGCGGGGUUUGUUGUGCCUAGCACCACUUGUUAAUAUAAUAAUCCAUACGAGCUCUGAAAAAAUGUAACAGUUCACCCCUGAAAACGACGAGAAAAACAGACAUACAUUUUAAAAAAUACUGAAAUUAUCAUUGUUAAAAGAAGAUUAAUCAUUCAUUCCUUAUCUUAAGAACACUGCAGCCCAAUCUGAAAUCUAAAAAUCCUCUGCAGGUUAAUCACAACUCAGAUCAUCACAUGACUUAGAUAAUGAUUUCACUUGUAUAAUUUCAAUUGAUAAACAGAAUAGUUCUGUGAAUACUGCCCAAUGGCAAUUCAGUGCAAAUUAAUACUUCAUGCAACCUGUGAAACAACUAAUUAAAUGCAAAUGGGGAAAAAUAACACACUGUAUCCUCGCUGUUUGACACUGAUGAGAUAGAACACAUGGUCCAGAAGAGAAAAAAAGGUAAAUAAGUUUAAUAUGACAUUUAAACACUAUUUGUUUGUUUGUUUGUUUUUUUAUAUAACUGGUGGUAUAAAUGGUUCAGGCUUAAUUAUGAACCUGAACAUUAAAACCUUUAUUAUGAACGACCUCUGCAGUACAGCCUGUAAUACCACCACAGCCCACCAGAGAGCAUCAACCCACACUUUGGAAAUUUCUCCAUUUCUCACUUUCAUGAACACGAUGUCAAGUCACAUGAGACAAAUUAUAAAUACACAGAUUAUAGAGAAACCUACAUUCACAUGAGGUGCUCCACUCACCUGAAUGUUUUUAGAUGUUUUGUGUUAAUGAUGUCUGGCAUUUCUGUCAACAAGACAAACAGCAUUAU